AAUCUGGCUUCAGGUUUGGGACAACCAUUGGAAACGAUGGCUAAUACCGAAUGUGCCGUAGGGUGAAAGAUUAAUUGCCUGAAGAUGAGCUCGCGUCUGAUUAGCUAGUUGGUGGGGUAAGGGCCUACCAAGGCGACGAUCAGUAACUGGUCUGAGAGGAUGACCAGUCACACUGGGACUGAGACACGGCCCAGACUCCUACGGGAGGCAGCAGUGGGGAAUUUUCCGCAAUGGGCGAAAGCCUGACGGAGCAAUACCGCGUGAGG
rnacentral:rRNA from 1 species